GGAGAGGUGGUCGAGAUGGUUUAAGGCGCAGCAUUGGAAAUGCUGUGUACGUUGAUAGCGUACCGAGGGUUCGAAUCCCUUCCUCUCCUCCA
rnacentral:tRNA from 1 species